UAAUCUCUGCAGGCUGGCUGGCCCCCAGGCUGCGCAGGCUGAGGAUCUCUUCGAAAGGCUCACUCUCAAGCAUGACUAAGAGC
rnacentral:pre_miRNA from 1 species